UACGUAGGGGGCAAGCGUUGUCCGGAAUCAUUGGGCGUAAAGAGCGCGUAGGCGGCUUCGUAAGUCCGCUGUGAAAGUCCAGGGCUCAACCCUGGAAUGCCGGUGGAUACUGCGGAGCUAGAGUCCGGAAGAGGCGAGUGGAAUUCCUGGUGUAGCGGUGAAAUGCGCAGAUAUCAGGAGGAACACCGGUGGCGAAGGCGGCUCUCUGGAACGGUACUGACGCUGAGGCGCGAAAGCGUGGGGAGCGAACAGG
rnacentral:rRNA from 1 species